AAGCCCCAGGUUAGGAUAGCCUUUGCUCAUUGUGAUUAUGAACCAAAUUAUGGGGGUUUCUGUCAGUAAGAUCUGAGAUGUACACUGUGAGAGACAUGGAAAAUGGCAUGAGUCAUUGUCUGCUUCCUCUUCCCCCCAAGGAACUUUUUUGGAUUUCUGCGAAGGAAAUGCUCAUCAGAAACUACAAGUCAGGAGGGCUUCUCCUUAUGGCAACCAGUUUGGCUGAGGGAUAUGUACAGACCUCUCAAUGCCACACGCAAGAAAAGCAUGGCCAACAAGCUACAUGACAGGGACUCUUCCGAUGAGGAAGAGAGUUUGCAUAAGAAGAGAAAAGGGGAUCCCAGUGACAUCAUCAUAGAGAUUCCACCAUCAUCAUCACCACCACCAGCCUCACCACCACCUCCUCCUCCACCUGCUGAAAUUAGUCCACCGGUGAUCCUGGGUGUUGUGGUGCUGUGCGUGCCUCAUAAGUCUGAGACUUUUACACUUGGACUCUCACAUUGUUUAUUCCACACCUAAUUUCUAACAUUUGCUAACAUUUUGGCAUACUGUUUCCUCAGAUUAAAUUGUAUACAAUUCAUAACCAUUUCCAUGGGUGGUACUUACAUAUAUGUGUGCAGAUAACAGGGGCACAGGCAGGAGCGGCAGGACUGUGGCUAGGGCUGUGUCAUGGCAGUCAUGCUUGCAGAAGGUAUAGGUGGCUUCCAAAGAGGACAUCCUGCCUGC